GCACUUCACUGGGGCAGCACAUACGCUAAAAUUGGAAUGAUACAGAGAAGAUUAGCAUGGCCUCUACACAAGGAUGACAUGCAAAUUCUUGAAGCAUUCUAUAUUUCU
ensembl:snRNA U6 U6 spliceosomal RNA